CACGUAGGGUGCGAGCGUUGUCCGGAAUUAUUGGGCGUAAAGAGCUCGUAGGCGGUGUGUCGCGUCGGCCGUGAAAACCUGCAGCUUAACUGUGGGCUUGCGGUCGAUACGGGCAUCACUGGAGUUCGGCAGGGGAGACUGGAAUUCCUGGUGUAGCGGUGAAAUGCGCAGAUAUCAGGAGGAACACCGGUGGCGAAGGCGGGUCUCUGGGCAACAACUGACGCUGGAGGAGCGAAAGCGUGGGGAGCGAACAGG
rnacentral:rRNA from 1 species